rnacentral:rRNA from 1 species
GAUGAACGCUGGCGGCGUGCCUAAUACAUGCAAGUCGAGCGAACAGACGAGGAGCUUGCUCCUCUGACGUUAGCGGCGGACGGGUGAGUAACACGUGGAUAACCUACCUAUAAGACUGGGAUAACUUCGGGAAACCGGAGCUAAUACCGGAUAAUAUAUUGAACCGCAUGGUUCAAUAGUGAAAGACGGUUUUGCUGUCACUUAUAGAUGGAUCCGCGCCGCAUUAGCUAGUUGGUAUGGUAACGGCUUACCAAGGCGACGAUGCGUAGCCGACCUGAGAGGGUGAUCGGCCACACUGGAACUGAGACACGGUCCAGACUCCUACGGGAGGCAGCAGUAGGAAAUCUUCCGCAAUGGGCGAAAGCCUGACGGAGCAACGCCGCGUGAGUGAUGAAGGUCUUCGGAUCGUAAAACUCUGUUAUUAGGGAAGAACAAAUGUGUAAGUAACUAUGCACGUCUUGACGGUACCUAAUCAGAAAGCCACGGCUAACUACGUG